AUUAAACUGAAGAGUUUGAUCCUGGCUCAGAUUGAACGCUGGCGGAAUGCUUUACACAUGCAAGUCGAACGGCAGCACGGGAGC
rnacentral:rRNA from 1 species